rnacentral:rRNA from 1 species
GGCGUAAAGAGCUGUAGGCGAUUUGUCGCGUCUGCUGUGAAAAUCCGGGCUCAACCCCGGACUUGCAGUGGGUACGGGCAGACUAGAGUAUGGUAGGGGAGACUGGAAUCCUGGUGUAGCGGUGAAAUGCGCAGAUAUCAGGAGGAACACCGAUGGCGAAGGCAGGUCUUGGGCCAUUACUGACGCUGAGAAGCGAAAGCAUGGGGAGCGAACAGGAUUAGAUACCCUGUAGUCCAUGCCGUAAACGUUGGGCGCUAGGUGUGGGACUCAUUCCACGAGUUCCGUGCCGAGCUAACGCAUUAAGCGCCCCGCCUGGGGAGUACGGCCGCAAGGCUAAAACUCAAAGGAAUGACGGGGGCCCGCACAAGCGGCGGAGCAUGCGGAUUAAUUCGAUGCAACGCGAAGAACCUACCAAGGCUUGACAUAUACCGGAAACACCUAGAGAUAGGUGCCCCGUUUGGUCGGUAUAAGGUGGUGCAUGGUUGUCGUCAGCUCGUGUCGUGAGAUGUUGGGUUAAGUCCCGCAACGACGCAACCCUCGUUCUAUGUUGCCAGCACGUAAAGGUGGGGACUCAUAGGAGACUGCCGGGUCAACUCGGAGGAAGGUGGGGAUGACGUCAAAUCAUCAUGCCCCUUAUGUCUUGGGCUUCCGCAUGCUACAAUGGCCGGUACAAAGGGCUGCGAUACCGCAAGGUGGAGCGAAUCCCAAAAACCGGUCUCAGUUCGGAUUGGGGUCUGCAACUCGACCCCAUGAAGUCGGAGUCGCUAGUAUCGCAGAUCAGCAACGCUGCGGUGAAUACGUUCCCGGGCCUUGCACACACCGCCCGAA